rnacentral:rRNA from 1 species
UGGGGAAUAUUGCACAAUGGGCGCAAGCCUGAUGCAGCCAUGCCGCGUGUAUGAAGAAGGCCUUCGGGUUGUAAAGUACUUUCAGCGGGGAGGAAGGGAGUAAAGUUAAUACCUUUGCUCAUUGACGUUACCCGCAGAAGAAGCACCGGCUAACUCCGUGCCAGCAGCCGCGGUAAUACGGAGGGUGCAAGCGUUAAUCGGAAUUACUGGGGGUAAAGCGCACGCAGGCGGUUUGUUAAGUCAGAGGUGAAAUCCCCGGGCUCAACCUGGGAACUGCAUCGGAUACUGGCAAGCUUGAGUCUCGUAGAGGGGGGUAGAAUUCCAGGUGUAGCGGUGAAAUGCGUAGAGAUCUGGAGGAAUACCGGGGGCGAAGGCGGCCCCCUGGACGAAGACUGACGCUCAGGUGCGAAAGCGUGGGGGGCAAACAGG